rnacentral:rRNA from 1 species
AUACGUAGGUGGCAAGCGUUGUCCGGAAUUAUUGGGCGUAAAGCGCGCGCAGGUGGUUCCUUAAGUCUGAUGUGAAAGCCCCCGGCUCAACCGGGGAGGGUCAUUGGAAACUGGGGAACUUGAGUGCAGAAGAGGAUAGUGGGAUUCCAAGUGUAGCGGUGAAAUGCGUAGAGAUUUGGAGGAACACCAGUGGCGAAGGCGACUGUCUGGUCUGUAACUGACACUGAGGCGCGAAAGCGUGGGGAGCAAACAGGAUUAGAUACCCUGGUAGUCCACGCCGUAAACGAUGAGUGCUAAGUGUUGGGGGGUUUCCGCCCCUCAGUGCUGCAGCUAACGCAUUAAGCACUCCGCCUGGGGAGUACGGUCGCAAGACUGAAACUCAAAUGAAUUGACGGGG